rnacentral:rRNA from 1 species
GGGACACGUGGUAUCCUGUCUGAAUAUGGGGGGACCAUCCUCCAAGGCUAAAUACUCCUGACUGACCGAUAGUGAACCAGUACCGUGAGGGAAAGGCGAAAAGAACCCCGGCGAGGGGAGUGAAAAAGAACCUGAAACCGUGUACGUACAAGCAGUGGGAGCACAGAGCAAUCUGUGUGACUGCGUACCUUUUGUAUAAUGGGUCAGCGACUUAUAUUCUGUAGCAAGGUUAACCGAAUAGGGGAGCCGAAGGGAAACCGAGUCUUAACUGGGCGUUAAGUUGCAGGGUAUAGACCCGAAACCCGGUGAUCUAGCCAUGGGCAGGUUGAAGGUUGGGUAACACUAACUGGAGGACCGAACCGACUAAUGUUGAAAAAUUAGCGGAUGACUUGUGGCUGGGGGUGAAAGGCCAAUCAAACCGGGAGAUAGCUGGUUCUCCCCGAAAGCUAUUUAGGUAGCGCCUCGUGAAUUCAUCUCCGGGGGUAGAGCACUGUUUCGGCAAGGGGGUCAUCCCGACUUACCAACCCGAUGCAAACUGCGAAUACCGGAGAAUGUUAUCACGGGAGACACACGGCGGGUGCUAACGUCCGUCGUGAAGAGGGAAACAACCCAGACCGCCAGCUAAGGUCCCAAAGUCAUGGUUAAGUGGGAAACGAUGUGGGAAGGCCCAGACAGCCAGGAUGUUGGCUUAGAAGCAGCCAUCAUUUAAAGAAAGCGUAAUAGCUCACUGGUCGAGUCGGCCUGCGCGGAAGAUGUAACGGGGCUAAACCAUGCACCGAAGCUGCGGCAGCGACGCUGAUGCGUUGUUGGGUAGGGGAGCGUUCUGUAAGCCUGUGAAGGUGUGCUGUGAGGCAUGCUGGAGGUAUCAGAAGUGCGAAUGCUGACAUAAGUAACGAUAAAGCGGGUGAAAAGCCCGCUCGCCGGAAGACCAAGGGUUCCUGUCCAACGUUAAUCGGGGCAGGGUGAGUCGACCCCUAAGGCGAGGCCGAAAGGCGUAGUCGAUGGGAAACAGGUUAAUAUUCCUGUACUUGGUGUUACUGCGAAGGGGGGACGGAGAAGGCUAUGUUGGCCGGGCGACGGUUGUCCCGGUUUAAGCGUGUAGGCUGGUUUUCCAGGCAAAUCCGGAAAAUCAAGGCUGAGGCGUGAUGACGAGGCACUACGGUGCUGAAGCAACAAAUGCCCUGCUUCCAGGAAAAGCCUCUAAGCAUCAGGUAACAUCAAAUCGUACCCCAAACCGACACAGGUGGUCAGGUAGAGAAUACCAAGGCGCUUGAGAGAACUCGGGUGAAGGAACUAGGCAAAAUGGUGCCGUAACUUCGGGAGAAGGCACGCUGAUAUGUAGGUGAAGUCCCUCGCGGAUGGAGCUGAAAUCAGUCGAAGAUACCAGCUGGCUGCAACUGUUUAUUAAAAACACAGCACUGUGCAAACACGAAAGUGGACGUAUACGGUGUGACGCCUGCCCGGUGCCGGAAGGUUAAUUGAUGGGGUCAGCGCAAGCGAAGCUCUUGAUCGAAGCCCCGGUAAACGGCGGCCGUAACUAUAACGGUCCUAAGGUAGCGAAAUUCCUUGUCGGGUAAGUUCCGACCUGCACGAAUGGCGUAAUGAUGGCCAGGCUGUCUCCACCCGAGACUCAGUGAAAUUGAACUCGCUGUGAAGAUGCAGUGUACCCGCGGCAAGACGGAAAGACCCCGUGAACCUUUACUAUAGCUUGACACUGAACAUUGAGCCUUGAUGUGUAGGAUAGGUGGGAGGCUUUGAAGUGUGGACGCCAGUCUGCAUGGAGCCGACCUUGAAAUACCACCCUUUAAUGUUUGAUGUUCUAACGUUGACCCGUGAUCCGGGUUGCGGACAGUGUCUGGUGGGUAGUUUGACUGGGGCGGUCUCCUCCUAAAGAGUAACGGAGGAGCACGAAGGUUGGCUAAUCCUGGUCGGACAUCAGGAGGUUAGUGCAAUGGCAUAAGCCAGCUUGACUGCGAGCGUGACGGCGCGAGCAGGUGCGAAAGCAGGUCAUAGUGAUCCGGUGGUUCUGAAUGGAAGGGCCAUCGCUCAACGGAUAAAAGGUACUCCGGGGAUAACAGGCUGAUACCGCCCAAGAGUUCAUAUCGACGGCGGUGUUUGGCACCUCGAUGUCGGCUCAUCACAUCCUGGGGCUGAAGUAGGUCCCAAGGGUAUGGCUGUUCGCCAUUUAAAGUGGUACGCGAGCUGGGUUUAGAACGUCGUGAGACAGUUCGGUCCCUA